ACCUUAUUAAGAAGUCCUUUCAGUUGUCGUC
rnacentral:piRNA from 1 species